UUGAAUUGAAGAGUUUGAUCAUGGCUCAGAUUGAACGCUGGCGGCAGGCUUAACACAUGCAAGUCGAACGGUAACGGGAAGGGAGCUUGCUUUCUUUGCCGACGAGUGGCGGACGGGUGAGUAAUGCUUGGGAAUCUGGCUUAUGGAGGGGGAUAACUACGGGAAACUGUA
rnacentral:rRNA from 1 species